AGAACCGUUGAUAUCCAAUCUGAAACCAAACGAAAUUUUAUAAAGUAUAUGUUGGAUAUUGAAUUCAUUUGUUCGGUAGAUCUGGAGCGAACAUAUCCUGCCUGAACCUGACCUAAAUCCCCCAAAAAUCCAAAACUUAUUUAUACACCUAUUAGAUCAUUUAUGAGUUUUAGACACUACACCAAUUUGGUUUGUUUAUUUACAAGAAUCAAAUGAUGUUGCACCGAGUAAAAGAUCAGAACCUGUCUCGUGACUAAUUCAUAUCAUUAAUAAUAAUAAAAAGCUGCUAAAAUCAAUAAUCUACUGACACUAGAUUUUAAAAAUUUUAAAUACAAAAUCCCUUCAAUAAUCUACUGAUAAGAAAAAAAAUGAAAAAAACAGUAAGAGAAAAUAAAAAUAAAAAGCAUACGCAAAAUGAAAGAAGAGUGUCGACCACCAACACUCAAGUCUCAAGGAACAUCACACUAUG
rnacentral:lncRNA from 1 species